GAGAGGCAGAGAGGGGAACAGAGAAAAAUGUAGAGCUCAAUAAAAUUAAUAAAAAAAUAGAAAAGCCAUAAAUCAAGAAGAAGAAGAUGAUGAAGAAGAAGAAGGUAUGCACUACAUGAAUCCUUUGGUAGGAAAAAUCACUGAGGUCAGAGAAUGUGUUACAAAAGUUCUAAGAUAAAUAGAGCUUGGAAGGAUGAAUGGGGUUCUCAGAGAUGGGAUGGUAAGAGAGGGCAGAGCCAUCAUGAACAGCUGUGCUGAGCUAAAGUACAUAUCCAGGAAAACAAAGGCUUGGUGGGGGUCAAGGAGCAGAUGAGUCUCUUUGGAAUGAACAAGAUUUGCAGGACACUUAUGCAUCGACCUCUUUUUGUUCAUCGUGUCCAGUUUCUAUGACGGAGAUGCAAUUAUCUUUACCUCAUGGGUGAAAAAAAUGCAUCUUUAAAGAGGUUAAGAGCUGGGUGUGGUGGCAUACUCCCACAAUCUCUGCGCUUGAGAGGCUCAGGCAGGAGGAUCAUGGGUUUGAGGCCAGCCUGAGCUAUAAGGUAAGACCCUAUGUCAACAGAAACCUAGAGCAGAGGUUUAAAAUUUGCUCUAGGUAAAACCCCUUUGGCUGCGAAGCCCACUCUUCAUAACUAAGUCUUAGGACAGAUGGAGGGUUAGAAGUUUGAGCAGUCCAGGGAAGCUGGAAACAGGGACCAGUUUUUCCUAUUUACUACCCAUGAUGACGAAGGUGAUGGGUCUGGUGGUUUGUCUCACAUUUCUGACUCACUGUGUGUUGGGUGUGGGACUAGGCACUUCCACUAUUGACCUUGUUCAAUCUCUGUUCUUUUGAGAACACACGGAAGGCACUUGAUUUACCCUGGUUCAACUUACCAGUUUCAACUUCACAGUGGCAUGGACUGUCAUGGCUACACUGGGAAGCUUUGGUUACCUUCCAUGUGAGAAGCCUGAUCUGCAUACACUGGAUUGAGAAAGGUGUUUCUUCAAUGUGGAUGUUUUUCAUUAGGACAACAUGAAACCAAAAGAAAGAUGUAGUUCAACUCUGAACAUCGAGAGUCAUGCAUGAUUAAAGAGAACCCUGUGAGACUUCAGCAACCACCACAGCAGGCGUUACUGUUCUCUCGGGACAGGUCUUGGGUGACUGCCUUGAAAGUGUCGUUUGACCCCCAAAGAGGUCAUAACCCACAGAAUAAGCACCACCGUCUUAGAAGAAUUGAGCUGGAAAUGACCUUAAGGUCUUCUCCAUGAAGACGAGCUUUCAACCAAAGGUGCUCUACAAGCCGCCAAUGGAUAAAAGAAAUCAAUAGUCCUACCCAGGUGUAAUGUUCAUGAACCUCAAAAAUACCUGGCCUCGGGAGAUAUGCCCAGUGGUGCAAUAGUGGUACUUUUAUCUCAGGAGUAACAGCUGCCUAUAUGGACUUCAGGUGCGAAUUCACACCUGGUACUGUAACCCCUAUCAACCACAUGUUGUUGAUGGGAGGGAAUUCAUGUCUGGUACUGUAAACCCAGCCAACCACAUGUUGUCAGUGGGAGGGAAUUCAUGCCUGGCAUUGUAAGCCCAAUCAACUAUGUGUUGUCAAUGGGGGAGAAUUCACGCCCGGUGCUUUAAACCCAGACAACUACAUGUUAUCAAUGGGAGGGGAUUCACACCUGAUAUCAUAAAUUCAGCCAAGGACCUGUAAUAGACCCUAAAAGGAGAAUACUGCCAUUUUAUUAAACCAAUAAAUUCUCCACUGAAUUCUAAAUAGUAAUCCUAUACCUACAGGUAAUUGUAACUCUCAUCCCUCAUCAAAGAAGCUUCUUUUGCAGCAGAUGGAGACCAUUACAAAGACAAUUGGUCAAAAUUCAGAGAAUUAGUGAACGUGGGCUGCCAAACCCUAACUAGUAUCUAUGAGGCAACCCUCCUGUCUAAGACUGUAAGAGCCAGUGUACACGUCAGUAGAUAGUUUCUUCUAAACAUGGCAAGCAAGUUGCAGAUAUGAAAUACCAGCAAUACAGCUGCCUAUACAAAACCUGCAUAAAGACAACACCAGAUGCCAUGCCAACAUGGACGAGGAAAGAUUCACAAAGCUCCACCCAUAGUUGAAAAGCUAUAGGCAAUUAGCGGUUGCUGAGAGAAUCAUGAGAAUCAUUUUUUAAUUCAGGGAUAAGCUCUCUGAUAGGCUCUCCAAUUACAAGCAGGCAACAAUACCUCAUAUAAUAUUUUAGGAGUCUUUUGAAUAACCCUGACCAAUAACUCAAAAGAGGGCUUCUCAUCUGGUGUUGGGGUUUUUGUUAGGCGGUCUUUGGGUUGUGGAGAAACAUUGUCAACCCAGAUGGGAAAUUUUCCUUUGAACUGUAUAUUCAUAUUUAUACACUCACUUAUGGUAAUGUAAGUAUUUUUUUUUUGUACAGAACGUUAACAGUAUUGUUUCUUGUAACACCUUCUUGACAACUUUACAGUUAUUUAACCCCCCCUCCUGUUUGGAUUUCUCUCACCUCUCCGUAGAGCCCCCAUUUUCCCCAUCAGAUCACCUGGCCCCUGCUACUCCACUCUCUACUGAUCCCCCACACCUACCCCAACAAUGGUCCAGUUUUUUUUCCCUGGUUUUUAUGAUUAUUCCAGGAUCUACUCAUAGCGGAAGAUCUGGAGCUGGUAACCUCAGAUGAGAAAGAAAACCCAGCGUUUGUUUUUGAUCUUUUCUAGUUCCCCUCAUUUGCCUGGAAAUGUCAGAAUCUCACUUUUCUUUACAGCUGAAUAGCAUUCCAUGGUGCAUAUGUACUACAUUUUCAUUAACUGUUAUUCAGCUGAAGGACAUGUAGGCUGUUUCCAUUUCUUAGCUAUUAUGAAUAGAAUAGCUAUGAAUAUGGCCGAGCAAGUACCUAGAGAGUAUGCUGUAGAGUGCCAAGGAGCUGAAUAGCUGGAUCAUAUGGUAGAUCUGUGUUUAGCCUUUUGAGAAUUCUCCACAGUGGAUGGGUCAGUUUGCAGUUCCACCAACAGUGAAUGAGGAGUCCCUUUUCCCCAAUUCCCUCCAGCAUUUGCUGUUGGUUGUUUUGUUGGCCUCUGCUGUCCUGACCCAGCAAAAUAAAAUUUCAAAGUUGUUUUGACUUGCCAUUUCUCUAAUUACUAGGCACAAUGAACAUUUUUGAGAUAUUUCU